GAUUAAAGGUGUCUCCUCCAGAAAGAAAAAAAUUAAUACCUUGCAUCCUGGAAGUUUAUUUAGGAAUCUGCAGUUAGGGACUUCUUUGAAACUUGGACAUGGCUAAUUGAAGAGCAACAAAACCCAAUGGGCCAAACACGAAAUAAAAUAUGCCAGUUCGAACUGGUACUUCUAGGAGAGUCUGCUGCUAACAAGUCAAGCCUGGUGCUUUGCUUUGUGAAGGGCCAGUUCCAUGAAUCUCAGGAGAGUACCACUGGGGCUGCUUUUCUAACCUUUCUAACCCAGACUGUAUGUCUUGAUGACUCAACAGUAAAGUUUGAAAUAUGGGACACAGCUGGCCAAGAGCACUACCACAGCCUAGCACCAAUGUACUACCAAGGAGCACAGGCAGCCACAGUUGUGUAUGACAUCACCAAUGAGGAGUCCUUUGCAAGAGCAAAAAACUGGGUUAAAGAACUCCAGAGGCAAGCAAGUCCUAAUAUUAUAAUAGCUUCAUCAGGAAAUAAGGCUGAUCUAGCAAAUAAAAGAGCUGUUGACUUCCAGGAAGCACAAUCCUAUGAUGACAACAGUUUAUUAUUCAUGGAGACAUCAGCUAAGACAUCAAUGAAUGUAAAUGAAAUACUCAUGGCAAUAGCUAAAAAGCUGCCAAAGAAUGAACCACAGAAUCCAGGAGCAAAUUCGGCCAGAGGAAAAGGAGUAGACCCUACUGAGCCUAAACAACCAACCAGGAGUCAGUGUUGUAGUAACUAAAUCUCCAGUUUGAACUAGCUGGAGAAUUCUGCUUCCUAAAUGUCAAUAACCAUGAAGUUUGAGCUUUUAGCCAGCCCAGUAUGACUUCCAAAAAGA